UUUCGCUGGAGACUAUGCGCAGGCGCGGUGCACUGCGCGCCGGCACGAGGGUGUUUUCGACGUUGGCUGUGGGGAAACAGCAAGCGGCGUGGACGACCGUUGCUGAGCUGGUGUGGAACGUCUGUGAUCAGGAUUACCCUCUCCAGAUGCUGGUGCCAUGCUCUUGGACUUCCCAGCCUCCUAGAACUGUGAGAAAAAAAAUUUAAAGAAUUAACAGGAGGUGGCCAAGAUGGUCAACUAGAAGUAGCUAGUGUUUGUGGCUCUCACAGAAACAAAUGGAAGGAGAGAGUAAAUAACAGCACCUUCAACUGAAACAUGCCGGUAGUCACUUUGGGAAUAAUCAAGGAAACAACCCACAAAGAACAGAGAAAAGCAAGGCAGGAAAAUGGCCCAUCUGGAAGCAGCACAGAGCCAAGGGAGCCUCCCCUGCCCAGGGAAGUGGUGAAUGAGUGUGUCACCCCGGGAACCCACACUUCUCUCACAGAUCUUUGCAACCCUUGGGUUGGGAGAUCCUGUCGUGAACCCAUUUCACCAGGGCUUUCAGUCUGACUGACACACAGAGCUACAGGGAGUCUCAGCAGAGGCCCCACAAAGGGACACAUGGAGACUUGGGAGCCUUAGAUACUAGAUGGCUUUCUGGGCAUCCCAGCAAAAGCAGAUGCAACUCCAGCAAACUGGGAGAUGAGACACCCCACCCCGUACAUACCCCUAGGAAAGAGGCUGAAUCCAGAGGGCUGAGCAGCAACAGUCUACAGGCCCCACUUCCAAGGCACCUCACAGGAUAAGACCCACUGGCUUGGAAUUCCAGCCAGCCACCGGUAGCCAAGUUGGAGCUCCUGGGGGAGGGGAAGGGCACCAUCUUUGCUGUUUGGGCAACUUAACCAUACCAGCCUUUGGGCUUUGGAAAGUCCAAGCCAACCAGGGGUGGAAGGGAUUCCCCAGCAUAGCACAGCUGCUCUACAAAAACAUGGCCAGACUUUUUGCAAAGAUCUGUGAGAGAAGUGUGGGUUUCCAAUCCUGUUUCUCCUUUCUGGGUGGGACCUCCCAGCUGGGGUCUCCAGCCACCCCUGCCAGUCAGAGUUUUGAAACCUCCCUGGGACUAAG
rnacentral:lncRNA from 10 species